rnacentral:lncRNA from 1 species
UUUUCAACAUUUUAAACGCAAAACAUGUAUCUAUAUACACAGAUGCAUUAUUUGAAUAUUUAUAAGUACGACUAACGAUUGGAAUACAGAUACAAGCGAUUUACAUGCUAAGAAGCGUUGAAGCGAUUAAACCGUAAUUGGUCGAUUGUAAUAGUUCAAUUUUAGCACGUUAUUGCCAGUUAGUGGUCACGCAUAUGCAUGCGAAGGUGUUUUCUAUUUCUAUACACGGAACAAUGUUAAAGGUGGAGAAUGUUAAUCAAAGUAUCGAACGAGUUCAUCAUCGUGCCAGUCAUAAAUACCACCGAGUUUACGAUCUCUCCGAGAAGAAAAGAAUUUGCAAAAGCACAAACGGUGUUUAACUCUCAUCGCGGAGCUUUGAAGACGAUGAUUAGAACCUUUACGGAUGGAAAAAUCGAAAGAAAACAAGUGAAAGUUGGCGUAAAAAUUACGCGGUGCGCACUUGGCGGAUGCAAAAAGAAAAAAAAAAAGAAGAAAAACGCGAUUUUACUCGAUAACUAGAAACGAGAUCAUCGAUUCACUCGCUUCGUUGGAGUGCAAUUUUCCAGGAACGAUUGUACAUACAUUCCAAGACGGAUUUAUUAAGAUGAUGGAAAUAAAAGGACUCUUUAAAUAAGAAUAAAAAUCAAGAAUUGAAUUAAAAAUCAACUAGAAAGUGGUUCCAUCUAUCGAGGAAAUUUUUCAUCUUAUCUCUACACCAUUUUGGCUAUUGAGCAUAUAGCGAUUACGUAUACAAAAACAUUUGAAAUUUUUUGAUCUCUUUUUGAUGAAACUUGCAAAUCAUUGGUCACAGCGUAUCACAAUAUGGAACAGUAACUUUUUUCCCUCCUAUUCUUUUAUUUACACUCGGUAAUUAAAAUUACGGUAAAUGAACGCGAUUACGUCGAUCCAGGUAGGCAGUGAACGGCGUACAAGUUUACCUUCGAAAAGUCAAGUUCACGCAUAAGCGCGUAAGUGGCAAUCCGCUCCUGUCGAGGCUGGCAGAAAAUUACGAGAGAACGUUUACCGACACUGCGAAAUCUCUGUCUGCUUGUUUAUUUAUGAAAUCAGUCCAUGUCAAAUUAUAAUAUAAAAUGGUAUAAUAGUAAUAAUCCAGAGCGAAUAUAUAUUAUAUAUAGAAAAGAGGAAAAUUGCAAAAUGUGAUUCGUUGCACAAAUAGGAAUGAUGAUAACAGUUGUUUAAUACUGUUAUGUUGUAAAAUUAUGUAAAAAAUUAUUCUUAAGUUGACCAAAUUAUACAUUUUUUGUGGAGUUGUAUAUUAAACGAAGUUGAAAGAUCGAAAAGAUCUUCAUGCUCCAAUUUUUAUGAACAUCGUUGAGUGACUAAGCUUUAAAUAUCGCUUCAUUGGCUGUUCAGGUCUGUUGGUUGAAGUGAAACAAAGUGGUACGUGGUUUCCCUGGAGCAAUCGAAAUUACUUGGAAAACUUGGGAAAUAUCAAUUAAAAUAUUCACAAUUCGGAAUUUGUUCGUUUUAAACUUCCUCUACUUUUUCAUUUGGAAAGAAUUCUAAUACAUUGCAACAUUAAGGGGAAAAAGAAAUUUGAAAAACAUUAAUUUUUUUUCUAAUUUCCCUUAUUUUAUACGGAGAAGGUAUACAGUUUAUCAUUGAAGGGUCGUAAAUAAUUCGAAUAUUAGUAAAAGAAAAUAACAAAAAACUGAAAAAUAUCUUUACCGUACUUCGGAGUAAGGAAAUGUCCAUUAGUAAAACGAUAAAAUUCAAUGCCAUUAUUUCCAUCGAAUAAAUAUAAAAUUUAAUAUUAUUUCUCAAAAAUAAUAUUUUAAUAGUAAUUCUACAAAGAAUAUUCGUACACGGAUCCUCAUCGAUUCCGAAUCAACUCAAUACAAUAAUAUAUUCAAUAGAUACGCCGUCUAACGAUCAUCCGCAUUGCCAAUAAUAUCCUUAAAUAAUAUCUUUUAUCCAAAGUCAAAGAUCACCGCACGAUAGAAGUUCAGCAACGGUAAAAGGAUUGAUGGGAUCCUGGAUUCGAAGCUACUUUCCAACAGUUUAUCAUUUAUGCUGAUCGAAUGGAAAUUUCUGUAACGAUUAUCGAUUAAAGUGUACUUUGGAAUUCUUUUUCAUCUUGAAUAAAAAAAGCUACAAAAAUACUUUGAAUAAGGUGGAGGGCAAACGUUGCGAUCGUUCCACCGUGUCGGAAUCACGUAGUUCUAAUUCGACGCCAUGACGACCCAGUUCUUGGAUAUUUUAUGCCGUUUCUUUUGGAUUGUCGGUUACAUCUCGUAUCUCGUAUGAAUAAAUAUCGUUUGAGACGUGAUUAAAGUUAAAAAAAAUAAGAUUAUAAAAGCAGGUAUUAUUUUUAUUGUCAGUGGACAAGACGAAUUCAUUUCGUCAUGGACGAUAACUGUUCGUGCAAUAAAGUUCCAUUAGAUUAAAAGCGGUUGUUCUCUUUUAAAAAAAAAUCUCUCUUAAGUAACAAAGCAAGAAGAAUCCUAAGCGAUCAUUAAGCGAGAAUUACAAUGAAUGAACGCUGUUCGAGCGAAGGGUUGAUCUCGGAAGAGAUCGGAAUGUUAAAGGGGGAAAUAAAUUCGAGGUGGGCCAGGAAGGACAGAACGUCUAUGCGAGGAAUGCGCGCCAGGUUGAGAAGGCCGCGGGCGUUGUUAGGAGGAUUUAAUCAUUAUUCUUGAAAGUAAUUUAAUUGUUGCUUUUGGUGAAUUGAAUUUUUUUUUUUUUCCUUGAGAAUUAUUAUUAUGCUGCAAAUGUGUUCUAUGCAUCGUAAAUAUCAAUUCGAUGUUUGAUAAAAAUACUUAAAAACAGGCGUGACCGGAAGUACGUAUACAAGUUUCCUCCGAACGUGAAACUUUCUCUUAAGCCUACAUCCGCAAACAUGUUUGUCUCCCGAUUACAUACCAACACAUUUUCCAACAAUUCUUUUGUCAACACAAUCUAUCCACCUCGUGUCUUUUACAUACAAUAUCCCUUUCUCAUUCUUCAAUCUUCCAAUACAACCUAUUCAACCUUCGAACGUGAGAAUUAUAAUACAAAAGAAUAUGCACAAAAAUCAAAAGAUAAAAAAAUAAACGAUAUUCACUCUGCUA